rnacentral:lncRNA from 1 species
CAAGCUUUGGUAGAGAGCAAGUAGUUGGCUUUGUUGGGUGCCAACCAAGUAAGUCAGUAAUCAUGUCCUAUCCAACAUAGCGGGGUCCCGGACAUGCUUAUUUUGUGCAACAAGCCAACGACCAUAGCACACUGCUUUGAAACUUGCAUUGGUCCCCCUUCCCUCCUACCGUACUUACUUGCCCAUGACAGCCAGCAACCCAGAGCUCCAUCCUUUAUCCAAAUCAUUCAUAUUAAUUAUAUUUCAUGGCUCUAAC